rnacentral:tRNA from 1 species
GUUUCGAUAGCUCAUUGGCAGAGCGUGUCGCCUGAAAACGACAAGGUAGCGGGUUCGAUUCCAGCUCGAAACACCA